AGAGUUUGAUCCUGGCUCAGGAUGAACGCUGGCGGCGUGCCUAACACAUGCAAGUCGAACGAAGCAUUUACGGAUGACCCCUUCGGGGGGAUUUUGUUUAUGACUGAGUGGCGGACGGGUGAGUAACGCGUGGGGAACCUGCCUCUGCCAGGGGGAUAACAGUUAGAAAUGACUGCUAAUACCGCAUAAGCGCACAGAACCGCAUGGCUCGGUGUGAAAAGCCGAGACGGACAGAGAUGGACCCGCGUCUGAUUAGGUAGUUGGUGAGGUAACGGCCCACCAAGCCGACGAUCAGUAGCCGACCUGAGAGGGUGACCGGCCACAUUGGGACUGAGACACGGCCCAAACUCCUACGGGAGGCAGCAGUGGGGAAUAUUGCACAAUGGGGGAAACCCUGAUGCAGCGACGCCGCGUGAAGGAAGAAGUAUUUCGGUACGUAAACUUCUAUCAGCAGGGAAGAAAACGACGGUACCUGACUAAGAAGCUCCGGCUAAAUACGUGCCAGCAGCCGCGGUAAUACGUAUGGAGCAAGCGUUAUCCGGAUUUACUGGGUGUAAAGGGAGCGUAGGCGGCGAUGCAAGUCAGAGGUGAAAGCCCGGGGCUCAACUCCGGGACUGCCUUUGAAACUGUAUGGCUGGAUUGCAGGAGAGGUAAGUGGAAUUCCUAGUGUAGCGGUGAAAUGCGUAGAUAUUAGGAGGAACACCAGUGGCGAAGGCGGCUUACUGGACUGUAAAUGACGCUGAGGCUCGAAAGCGUGGGGAGCAAACAGGAUUAGAUACCCUGGUAGUCCACGCGGUAAA
rnacentral:rRNA from 1 species